rnacentral:piRNA from 6 species
UGGUGGUCUAGUGGUUAGGAUUCGGCG